ACGUGGACAAUCCUGACCCCCCGGCCGGGAUAGCCCCAGGGAAACCUGGACUUAAUACCGGAUGAGACGGGACCCGCGAUGGCGGGAUCCGGGAAAGGCGCUGCGGCGCCGCCGGGGGAUGAGUCUGCGUCCCAGUUAGCUAGACGGCGGGGUAACGGCCCACCGUGGCGACGAUGGGUAGCCGGCCUGAGAGGUGACGGCCACAUUGGAACUGAGACACGGUCCAGACUCCUACGGGAGGCAGCAGCUAAGAAUCUUCCGCAAUGGGCGAAAGCCUGACGGAGCGGAACCGCCGCGUGAACGAAGAAGGCCGUGAGGUUGUAAAGUUCUUUUCGGGAGGGGAACAACCGUGGCAGGGAAUGGCCGCGGGAUGACGUGAAUCCCGGAAUAAGCCCCGGCUAACUACGUGCCAGCAGCCGC
rnacentral:rRNA from 1 species